GCGGAGGGAUCAUUACAGAGUUGCAAAACUCCCUAAACCAUUGUGAACGUUACCUAUACCGUUGCUUCGGCGGGCGGCCCCGGGGUUUACCCCCCGGGCGCCCCUGGGCCCCACCGCGGGCGCCCGCCGGAGGUCACCAAACUCUUGAUAAUUUAUGGCCUCUCUGAGUCUUCUGUACUGAAUAAGUCAAAACUUUCAACAACGGAUCUCUUGGUUCUGGCAUCGAUGAAGAACGCAGCGAAAUGCGAUAAGUAAUGUGAAUUGCAGAAUUCAGUGAAUCAUCGAAUCUUUGAACGCACAUUGCGCCCGCCAGCAUUCUGGCGGGCAUGCCUGUUCGAGCGUCAUUUCAACCAUCAAGCCCCCGGGCUUGUGUUGGGGACCUGCGGCUGCCGCAGGCCCUGAAAAGCAGUGGCGGGCUCGCUGUCGCACCGAGCGUAGUAGCAUACAUCUCGCUCUGGUCGCGCCGCGGGUUCCGGCCGUUAAACCACCUUUUAACCCAAGGUUGACCUCGGAUCAGGUAGGAAGACCCGCUGAACUUAAGCAUAUCAAUAAGC
rnacentral:misc_RNA from 1 species